GAUGAACGCUGACAGAAUGCUUAACACAUGCAAGUCGAUGGGGAAGUGGUGCUUGCACCAUGGUAACCAUGGCGGACGGGUGAGUAACGCGUAAGGAACUUACCUGCGGGACCGGGAUAACAGCAGGAAACUGCUGACAAGACCGGAUAAGGUCAUUAAGCUGCAUAGCUUAGUGAUGAAAGGAGACGCCUGCGGAGAGCCUUGCGUUCUAUUAGCUAGUUGGAGGGGUAACGGCCCACCAAGGCGAAGAUAGGUAGCCGGCCUGAGAGGGUGGACGGCCACAAGGGGACUGAGAUACGGCCCUUACUCCUACGGGAGGCAGCAGUGGGGAAUAUUGGACAAUGGGGGCAACCCUGAUCCAGCAAUUCUGUGUGCACGAAGACGGUUUUCGGAUUGUAAAGUGCUUUCAGCAGGGAAGAAGGAAGUGACGGUACCUGCAGAAGAAGCGACGGCUAAAUACGUG
rnacentral:rRNA from 1 species